rnacentral:rRNA from 1 species
CCAGCAUUUCAGGUUGGAGGAAUUUGACUUUGUUGUCUUUCCUUGCAUUUCUAGGUCUAUGUUCUUUUUCAUAUAAUCUUAUUGUGAUAUAAUGGACCCUAUAUAAUAUAAACCUAUACAACUUUCAGCAACGGAUCUCUUGGCUCUCGCAUCGAUGAAGAACGCAGCGAAAUGCGAUAAGUAAUGUGAAUUGCAGAAUUCAGUGAAUCAUCGAAUCUUUGAACGCACCUUGCGCUCCUUGGUAUUCCGAGGAGCAUGCCUGUUUGAGUGUCAUUAAUAUAUCAACCUCUUUAAAUUUUGAGAGUGUUUGGAUGUGGGGGGUGUUAUUUUGCUGGCUUUCUCCAAGGUCAGCUCCCCUGAAAUGUAUUAGCGGAACAAUUUGUUGACCGUUCAUUGGUGUGAUAGCAUAUCUACGCUAUUGACGUGAAGCAAGUUCAGCUUAUAACAGUCCAUUGACUUGGACAAUUCUAUUAUUAAUGUGACCUCAAAUCAGGUAGGACUACCCGCUGAACUAA